rnacentral:rRNA from 1 species
UACGAAGGGGGCUAGCGUUGCUCGGAAUCACUGGGCGUAAAGGGUGCGUAGGCGGGUUUUUAAGUCAGGGGUGAAAUCCUGGAGCUCAACUCCAGAACUGCCUUUGAUACUGAAGAUCUUGAGUCCGGGAGAGGUGAGUGGAACUGCGAGUGUAGAGGUGAAAUUCGUAGAUAUUCGCAAGAACACCAGUGGCGAAGGCGGCUCACUGGCCCGGUACUGACGCUGAGGCAUGAAAGCGUGGGGAGCAAACAGG